rnacentral:rRNA from 1 species
GGUUAAGCGACUAAGCGUACACGGUGGAUGCCCUGGCAGUCAGAGGCGAUGAAGGACGUGCUAAUCUGCGAUAAGCGUCGGUAAGGUGAUAUGAACCUGUAUAACCGGCGAUUUCCGAAUGGGGAAACCCAGUGUGUUUCGACACACUAUCAUUAACUGAAUCCAUAGGUUAAUGAGGCGAACCGGGGGAACUGAAACAUCUAAGUACCCCGAGGAAAAGAAAUCAACCGAGAUUCCCCCAGUAGCGGCGAGCGAACGGGGAGCAGCCCAGAGCCUGAAUCAGUGUGUGUGUUAGUGGAAGCGUCUGGAAAGGCGCGCGAUACAGGGUGACAGCCCCGUACACAAAAAUGCACAUGCUGUGAGCUCGAUGAGUAGGGCGGGACACGUGGUAUCCUGUCUGAAUAUGGGGAGGGACCAUCCUCCAAGGCUAAAUACUCCUGACUGACCGAUAGUGAACCAGUACCGUGAGGGAAAGGCGAAAAGAACCCCGGCGAGGGGAGUGAAAAAGAACCUGAAACCGUGUACGUACAAGGCUUAACCUU